GAAACACGGACCAAGGAGUUCAACUGGAUUGCGAGUCGUAGAGUUUUACGUUAAGCUCUUAUUACGGCGAAGCGAAAGCAAAAUUGUGCGAACCAUUGUUUUUUUGGUGCAGCACGGGCUGAUUGUGGAUAUGCGUAGAAACUUGUGCGUAUACUUUUAUUUAUCUUAAAUAAUAAAAGGUCAAUCAAGCCAAAGAGCACACUAGUUGAGACCCGAAAGAUGGUGAACUAUGCUCGGACAUGGUGAAGCCAGGUGAAAACUUGGUGGAAGCUUGCGUUGUGCGGAACUGACGUGCAAAUCGUUGCCGCCUGACCUGAGUAUAGGGGCGAAAGACUCAUCGAACCAUCUAGUAGCUGGUUCCCUCCGAAGUUUCCCUCAGGAUAGCUCGAAUUAAUAAUCAAAUUUUUUACCAACGAGCAACACAAGGGUAAAGCAAUGAGACGCGGUAUCUGUGGGUCUUAUUUAAAUGACCUCGGCCUUCUCUCAAACUUUAAAUCUGUGCGACAAUAAUCUGCCUUCUUAAAAGUACUGAUUCAUAUUUAUUUAUGAGUCACGUACGCGAGGUGAUAUUUUGUAUCUAUAAUUCGUAGUGGGCCAUUUCUGGUAAGCAGAACUGGCGAUGAGGGAUUCAACCUGACGUUUUCAAGAUAAGCCGGGCUUAAUCUUAUCUGCUCCAACCUUCCGAUAAACGCGA
rnacentral:rRNA from 1 species